GCGUGCGAUCUAACGGCCCAAAUUAAAUCAGACGAAUUGACUGAGUUUCUCUCUCCUCUCCUCCGCGAUUUUCUCUCUCCUCACCAACGCCGUUUUCGUUCUCCUCUACCAUUUUCAAGCUCAAAUCUUAUCAAUUCAACGCGAAUUUUUGAAAUUCAUGUUGCUGAAACUCAUCAUCGUCUUGAAAUCUACAAUUUGAACCCAGAUUUGUGUAAUUUUUCGACACAAAUUAGGUAAAACCAUUGAAGCGGCUUCCGAUCUUUCUCUAUGCCAUUGAAGCAGCUUCUGAGUGAGGUGAUGUUUGAGAGGCUGCCAAGUGGGGAACGAGGUUAUUUUAUGACUCUGUGUUUGAAAGGCUGGCAAGCAAGGAGCGAGUUCAACCUGAAUGUUGCACAACAUCAUAAACCAACUUCUGGCAAAUCUCAUCACUCCAAGUAUUGACAGAACUUGGUUUCAAGACUGAAGUUACACUUGAUGAUGUAUUGGCAAUAGGGGUGGUUAUUGGGCGGGUCGGUGCGGGUCAUUAGCGGGGCGGGUCGGUUGCGGGUCAUGAUGAAUAUUUAGCGAGUCAGGGUCGGGUCAGGGUCAAUGCGGGUCAGGGUCGGGUCAGGGUCGAGGUAAAAGUAAAACGGGCCAUUAACUUCUACUAAUCUUUAAAUAGCAUACUAAUCUUUAAAUGGUAUACUAAUCUUUAAAUAGUAUACUUGUGCUCAGACAAAGAUAUAUGCAGGAUCAAAGUCUCAUAAAAAUCUUUCACAUCAAAAUAAAACCAGAAGUAGAGCCUGUGUAGAGAAAACCAGCACGCCAAAAUAAGUUCACCAAGAGUACUAACCCUGUUACAUCAAUUGUAAUAUACUAGUUUCUAGAUUUACGAAAUACUACUAGAAUGGUCUAGUUCAUUGCCAACAUUUUAGCAAAUGUUCUCAGAUACCACAAAAGAAUGAAGCAGCAGUAGGAAUGAAACAAGCUCUUUGGCUCUGAGUGCUUCAUGAACUCAGAACAGCCUCCAGCAACAGCAGCAGCUACAAAGCACCUCCCAGCCACACCAACACAAGCAACUACAGAACCAAAAAGCCAGCAGCACACAGAAACAAGACCUGCAGCCCCCAGCAGAAAAAAAAAAAAAAAAAAAAAAAAAAAAAAAAAAAAA